UGCACCUUUCGAUAUUGAGUUUUCAGUGACACACAAGGAACUUGACUUCUCUCAUUUGCUGGAUCAUUUAAGACGGCUACUUAGAGGUCAAGCCUCUCUAUUUGAUUGGUCUAGAUCUUCUUCCCUGGCGAGGACCUUAUCACCCAGAGUUUUGGAAAGUCAAAUAGAUGCUAAGAAGGAACUGGAGAAAAGUCUGAAGGCCAUUUGUGAGGAAUUCAUC